CUAACCGAGCAAAGGUAGCAUAAUCAAUUGUCCCUUAAAUCAGGACUAGUAUGAAUGGCGCCACGAGGGUUUAACUGUCUCCCCCCUUUAAUCAAUGAAAUUAACCUUUCCGUGAAGAUGCGGAAAUAAAAUUAUAAGACGAAAAGACCCCAUGGAGCUUUAAACUUAUUACCACUUAUUUAACAACACAGCAACACACAAAAUAAGAAUGCUCUUCAAUAGUUUUUGGUUGGGGCGACCCUGGAGAAAAAUAAAUCCUCCAGAUUGAAAAUAAUUAUUAUAUAAGAACCACAGUUCAAGUAAACAAAAAUUUGACAAAACUGACCCAGAAUAAACUGAUCAGUGAACCAAGUUACCCUGGGGAUAACAGCGCAAUCCAUUUUAAGAGUCCUUAUCGACAAAUGGGUUUACGACCUCGAUGUUGGAUCAGGGUAUCCUGGCAGCGCAGAUGUUGCUAACGGUUCGUUUGUUCAACGAUUAAUACCCUACGUGAUCUGAGU
rnacentral:rRNA from 1 species